UGCCGAUGAGGAAGACAUCCCAAAGAAUAGGAAGUGCCGUAUGACACUUUAAAAAGCACCGGCGGC
rnacentral:snoRNA from 1 species